UAGCUCAGCUGGUUAGAGCGUCGGAAUCAUAAUCCGCAGGUCUCGUGUUCGAAUCACGAACCCGCUACCA
rnacentral:tRNA from 1 species